UCAGAUGGCAGAAGAUAGGCAGAGAGUUUAGAAUAUCCACAUCUCUUGCAAAGAAAGAUCUUGGGAAGAUGGAUCAAAAACUUAUUUGCCUGGACAUGAGGACCACAAAUAACACAUAACAGUCAAUCUGGAAUAUGCAGCUUUGCUCCUUCUGCUGCUGUUUCAUAGCUUCUGUCCCAUUUUGUGAAUGAUCCCCUUCAGAAAGCAUCCUACGAGGAGGUAGCUCCAGGGUCACAGCAGCUACAGGAUGAGAGCUUCAGUUUUGCUGUGGGAGAAGCAAUGCUGGAAAAUCAUUCCCUGCACAGGAACUGGCAGUAAAAAAAAAGCCCUAAAGCUGGUAAAAGGUCUGCUGGAACUUGCCACCACUGCCUGAUCUGCAUGCUCCUUUAGUGGGUUCAUCAUCAU